rnacentral:rRNA from 1 species
AACGCGAAGAACCUUACCCAGGCUCGAAAUGUAAUGGACAAUACCAGAAAUGGUACUUUUCGUAAGAACUGUUAUAUAGGUGCUGCAUGGCUGUCGUCAGCUCGUGCCGUGAGGUGUUGGGUUAAGUCCCGCAACGAGCGCAACCCUUGUCAUUAGUUGCCAACACUUAAGGUGGGGACUCUAAUGAGACUGCCUAGGUUAACUAGGAGGAAGGCGAGGAUGACGUCAAGUCCGCAUGGCCUUUAUGUCUGGGGCAACACACGUGCUACAAUGGAUGGUACAGAAGGCAGCAAAGCCGUAAGGUGGAGCAAAUCCGUAAAACCAUUCUCAGUUCGGAUUGUAGUCUGCAACUCGACUACAUGAAGUUGGAAUUGCUAGUAAUGACGCGUCAGCUACAGCGUCGUGAAUACGUUCCCGGGCCUUGUA